CUAAUUAAUACAACUUUGAAAUUUCCUUCUUUUUUGUGAAGUUAUUUAUAUAUAAAAAAGAGAAAAAAAAUGCUACCAUGAUCUUGAGUAACACUUCAAUUUUCUCAUGUAUUUUUUCUAUCAAAUCCACAAUUAUUAUCUUCGUUUUUUCCCUUCUUAUCCUUCCCUCUCCUUCCUAUUGUUUAUAUCAUCAUACACAUAAAUUCCAAGAUUCUACUAAGGAUUUGUUAAUGGAAGAGAAAACAAGGUUGGGAUCGAUGCCACCAAGUUGUUACAACAAGUGUAACCAAUGCCACCCGUGCAUGGCGGCGCAAGUGCCAACGACACCGAGUCACCACCGAGUUGAACUGAGUCCGAGUCGAGUCAAAGAUGUGCCGAUGGAUUAUUAUGACUCACCAUCACCAUCAAUUGGAGCCAAUAGGUACUCAAAUUACAAGCCACUUGAAUGGAAAUGUCGAUGUGACGAUCAUUUUUAUAAUCCUUAGUUAAGGUAGACGAAUAUUUUUUUAUAAAAUAAUUAUAAUGUCCAGGUCAGCUUAUGUUUUAAUUUUUUUUUAUUAGUCAGUGUGAUUUUUAAUUGACACUUGGACGGUAUGUAUGUAUGCAUUUUUUUUUUUGGAAUUUUGGUAUCAAUAAAUUUGGUCCCUUGUGGGAUUUUGUUUUUUUAGAGACAAGACAUAUUUAAUGAGGCUGUUAGAAGCAUUUAGUAUGGUGUACAAAUUUUGAUAUCAAUACAUUGAUGUUGUACAUA